CGAGUCUUUGAACGCAAGUUGCGCCCGAGGCCAUCAGGCUAAGGGCACGCCUGCCUGGGCGUCGUGUGCUGCGUCUCUCCUGAUAAUGCUUGAUUGGCAUGCGGCUAGUCUGUCAUUGUGAGGACGUGAAAGAUUGGCCCCUUGCGCCUAGGUGCGGCGGGUCUAAGCAU
rnacentral:rRNA from 1 species